rnacentral:rRNA from 1 species
CCUACGGGAGGCAGCAGUGAGGAAUAUUGGUCAAUGGGCGGAAGCCUGAACCAGCCAAGUCGCGUGAGGGAUUAAGGCCCUGCGGGUCGUAAACCUCUUUUGCCGGGGAGCAGUGGUCCGGACGCGUCCGGACCGGGAGAGUACCCGGAGAAAAAGCACCGGCUAACUCCGUGCCAGCAGCCGCGGUAAUACGGAGGGUGCAAGCGUUGUCCGGAAUCAUUGGGCGUAAAGAGUUCGUAGGCGGCAUGUAAAGUCAGGUGUUAAAGGCGCAGGCUCAACCUGUGUAUGGCACUUGAUACUUGCAAGCUGGAAUGCGGUAGAGGUAAAGGGAAUUCCUGGUGUAGCGGCGAAAUGCUUAGAUAUCAGGAGGAACAUCGGUGGCGUAAGCGCUUUACUGGGCCGUAAUUGACGCUGAGGAACGAAAGCCAGGGUAGCAAAUGGGAUUAGAUACCCGAGUAGUC